rnacentral:rRNA from 1 species
GACGAACGCUGGCGGCGUGCUUAACACAUGCAAGUCGAGCGGUAAGGCCCUUUCGGGGGUACACGAGCGGCGAACGGGUGAGUAACACGUGGGUGACCUGCCCUUAGCUCUGGGAUAAGCCUGGGAAACUGGGUCUAAUACCGGAUAUGACUCCAUGACGCAUGUUGUGGGGUGGAAAGCCUUGUGCGGCUAGGGAUGGGCCCGCGGCCUAUCAGCUUGUUGGUGGGGUGAUGGCCUACCAAGGCGACGACGGGUAGCCGGCCUGAGAGGGCGACCGGCCACACUGGGACUGAGACACGGCCCAGACUCCUACGGGAGGCAGCAGUGGGGAAUCUUGCGCAAUGGGCGAAAGCCUGACGCAGCGACGCCGCGUGAGGGAUGACGGCCUCGGUG